rnacentral:rRNA from 1 species
UACGAAGGGUGCAAGCGUUACUCGGAAUUACUGGGCGUAAAGCGUGCGUAGGUGGUUUGUUAAGUCUGUUGUGAAAGCCCCGGGCUCAACCUGGGAGGUGCGCUCGAGACUGGUCUGCUAGAGUUCGGGAGAGGAGCGUGGAAUUCCCAGUGUAGAGGUGAAAUUCGUAGAUAUUGGGAAGAACACCGGUGGCGAAGGCGGCGCUCUGGACCGAGACUGACGCUGAGUGAGCGAAAGCCAGGGGAGCAAACGGG